GACGAACGCUGGCGGCGUGCUCAACACAUGCAAGUCGAACGGAAAGGCCCUGCUUUUGUGGGGUGCUCGAGUGGCGAACGGGUGAGUAACACGUGAGUAACCUGCCCUUGACUUUGGGAUAACUUCAGGGAACUGGGGCUAAUACCGGAUAGGAGCUCCUGCUGCAUGGUGGGGGUUGGAAAGUUUCGGCGGUUGGGGAUGGACUCGCGGCUUAUCAGCUUGUUGGUGGGGUAGUGGCUUACCAAGGCUUUGACGGGUAGCCGGCCUGGGAGGGUGACAGGCCACAUUGGGACUGAGAUACGGCCCAGACUCCUACGGAAGGCAGCAGUGGGGAAUAUUGCACAAUGGGCGGAAGCCUGAUGCAGCAACGCCGCGUGCGGGAUGACGGCCUUCGGGUUGUAAACCGCUUUCGCCUGUGACGAAGCGUGAGUGACGGUAAUGGGUAAAGAAGCACCGGCUAACUACGUGCCAGCCGCCGCGGUAAAAC
rnacentral:rRNA from 1 species